rnacentral:miRNA from 1 species
CAGCUUCUGUUAGGUUGGUGCAAAAGUAAUUGCGGUUUUUGCCAGGUAAAAUAAUGACAAAAACUGCAAUUACUUUUGCACCAACCUAAUAGUAGGGGUCAGUGACUU